rnacentral:rRNA from 1 species
AGUGAACGCUGGCGGUAGGCCUAACACAUGCGAGUCGAACGGCAGCACAGUAAGAGCUUGCUCUUACGGGUGGCGAGUGGCGGACGGGUGAGGAAUACAUCGGAAUCUACUUUUUCGUGGGGGAUAACGUAGGGAAACUUACGCUAAUACCGCAUACGACCUACGGGUGAAAGCAGGGGAUCUUCGGACCUUGCGCGAUUGAAUGAGCCGAUGUCGGAUUAGCUAGUUGGCGGGGUAAAGGCCCACCAAGGCGACGAUCCGUAGCUGGUCUGAGAGGAUGAUCAGCCACACUGGAACUGAGACACGGUCCAGACUCCUACGGGAGGCAGCAGUGGGGAAUAUUGGACAAUGGGCGCAAGCCUGAUCCAGCCAUACCGCGUGGGUGAAGAAGGCCUUCGGGUUGUAAAGCCCUUUUGUUGGGAAAGAAAAGCAGCAGGUUAAUACCCCGCUGUUCUGACGGUACCCAAAGAAUAAGCACCGGCUAACUUCAUG